rnacentral:lncRNA from 1 species
AAUAGACAACUUUCGAGUUCGAUGCAUUUCCGUCAAAAACUUUGGUUUUAGUGAACGUCACUCGUGCGUUUAGGUGCGUCGUGACUUCCGUUUCAAUGUUUAGCGAGUGGUUGAAAAACUAUAAAUCUAUAUUGCACGAAUUAUUCGGCAAAUUAAAUUCUCAUAAUUGACAAUCUGUACCGCUGUCAUUAGGGAAUUGUGAUUAAGUACCUACUGAACAAGCU